rnacentral:rRNA from 1 species
UACGUAGGGAGCGAGCGUUGUCCGGAUUCAUUGGGCGUAAAGAGCUCGUAGGCGGCUUGGCAAGUCGGGUGUGAAAACUCCAGGCUCAACCUGGAGACGCCACCCGAUACUGCCAUGGCUAGAGUCCGGUAGGGGACCACGGAAUUCCUGGUGUAGCGGUGAAAUGCGCAGAUAUCAGGAGGAACACCGGAGGCGAAGGCGGCUUGCUGGGCUUGGUCUGACGCUGAGGCGCGAAAGCGUGGGGAGCGAACAGG